UACGUAGGGGGCAAGCGUUGUCCGGAUUUAUUGGGCGUAAAGAGCGUGUAGGCGGCCAGGUAGGUCUGCUGUGAAAACUCGAGGCUCAACCUCGAGACGUCGGCGGAAACCAUCUGGCUAGAGUCCGGAAGAGGAGAGUGGAAUUCCUGGUGUAGCGGUGAAAUGCGCAGAUAUCAGGAAGAACACCCGUGGCGAAGGCGGUUCUCUGGGCCUGACCUGACGCUGAGGAGCGAAAGCGUGGGGAGCGAACAGG
rnacentral:rRNA from 1 species